rnacentral:rRNA from 1 species
AGAGUUUGAUCCUGGCUCAGAACAAACGCUGGCGGCGUGCCUAACACAUGCAAGUCGCACGAGAAAGUCUUCGGAUGAGUAAAGUGGCGCACGGGUGAGUAAUACAUGGGAACGUACCCUUCAGUUGGGAAUAACCACGGGAAACUGUGGCUAAUACCGAAUAAUGACGAGAGUCUAAAGAUGGCCUCUAUUUAUAAGCUAUCGCUGAAGGAGCGGCCCAUGUCCCAUUAGCUAGUUGGUAAGGUAAAGGCUUACCAAGGCGACGAUGGGUAGCUGGUCUGAGAGGAUGAUCAGCCACACUGGAACUGAGACACGGUCCAGACUCCUACGGGAGGCAGCAGUGGGGAAUAUUGCGCAAUGGUGGAAACCCUGACGCAGCAACGCCGCGUGAGUGAAGAAGGUCCUUGGAUCGUAAAGCUCUUUCGGCCGGGAAGAAGGGCUACAUGGCUAAUAUCCACGUAGUUUGACGGUACCGGAAGAAGAAGCACCUGCUAACUACGUGCCAGCAGCAGCGGUAAUACGUAGGGUGCGAGCGUUGUCCGGAAUUACUGGGCGUAAAGAGCACGUAGGCGGGCUCGUAUGUCAAUUGUGAAAGCCCUGGGCUCAACCUGGGAACUGCAGUUGAAACUGCGAGUCUUGAGUGUCUGAGAGGAUGGGAGGACUUGCUGGUGUANUAAUGAAUUACGUAAAUAUCCGCAGGAAUACCUGAGGCGAAGGCCCCUAUUUGUCAGAUCACUGACCUGAGGUGCAAAAGCCUUGGGAGGCAACCGGAUGAGAUACCCUGG